rnacentral:rRNA from 1 species
CCUACGGGAGGCUGCAGUGGGGAAUAUUGCACAAUGGGCGCAAGCCUGAUGCAGCCAUGCCGCGUGUGUGAAGAAGGCCUUCGGGUUGUAAAGCACUUUCAGCGGGGAGGAAGGCGUUAAGGUUAAUAACCUUGGCGAUUGACGUUACCCGCAGAAGAAGCACCGGCUAACUCCGUGCCAGCAGCCGCGGUAAUACGGAGGGUGCAAGCGUUAAUCGGAAUUACUGGGCGUAAAGCGCACGCAGGCGGUCUGUCAAGUCGGAUGUGAAAUCCCCGGGCUCAACCUGGGAACUGCAUUCGAAACUGGCAGGCUAGAGUCUUGUAGAGGGGGGUAGAAUUCCAGGUGUAGCGGUGAAAUGCGUAGAGAUCUGGAGGAAUACCGGUGGCGAAGGCGGCCCCCUGGACAAAGACUGACGCUCAGGUGCGAAAGCGUGGGGAGCAAACAGGAUUAGAACCCGGGUAGUC